rnacentral:rRNA from 1 species
UCGGGAAUUUUGGGCAAUGGGCGAAAGCCUGACCCAGCAACGCCGCGUGAGGGAUGAAGUAUUUCGGUAUGUAAACCUCGAAAGAAUGGGAAGAAUAAAUGACGGUACCAUUUAUAAGCUCCGGCUAACUACGUGCCAGCAGCCGCGGUAAUACGUAGGGAGCAAGCGUUGUUCGGAUUUACUGGGCGUAAAGGGCGCGUAGGCGGCGCGGUAAGUCACUUGUGAAAUCUCUGAGCUUAACUCAGAACGGCCAAGUGAUACUGCUGUGCUAGAGUGCGGAAGAGGCAACCGGAAUUCUUGGUGUAGCGGUGAAAUGCGUAGAUAUCAAGAGGAACACCUGAGGCGAAGGCGGGUUGCUGGGCCGACACUGGCGCUGAUGCGCGAAAGCCAGGGGA